rnacentral:rRNA from 1 species
GCGGCGUGCUUAACACAUGCAAGUCGAACGGUGAACCAGGGCUUGCCCUGGGGAUCAGUGGCGAACGGGUGAGUAACACGUGGGCAACCUGCCCCUCGCUCUGGGAUAACCCCGGGAAACCGGGGCUAAUACCGGAUACGCCCCGUGCGGACAUCAGCGCGGGCGGAAAGAUUUAUCGCCAAAGGAUCGGUCCGCGUUGGAUUAGGUAGAUGGUGGGGUAAUGGCCUACCAAGCCGACGAUCCAUAGCUGGGUUGAGAGGAGGAGCAGCCACACUGGGGCUGAGACACGGCCCAGACUCCUACGGGAGGCAGCAGUGGGGAAUCUUAGACAAUGGGGGAAACCCUGAUCUAGCCAUGCCGCGUGAUCGAUGAAGGCCUUAGGGUUGUAAAGAUCUUUCAGUGGGGAAGAUAAUGACUGUACCCACAGAAGAAGCCCCGGCUAACUCCGUGCCAGCCGCCGCAGUAACAC